UACAGAGGUCUCAAGCGUUGUUCGGAUUCAUUGGGCGUAAAGGGUGCGUAGGUGGCGCGGUAAGUCGGGUGUGAAAUUUCGGAGCUUAACUCCGAAACUGCAUUCGAUACUGCCGUGCUUGAGGACUGGAGAGGAGACUGGAAUUUACGGUGUAGCAGUGAAAUGCGUAGAUAUCAGGAGGAACACCCGUGGCGAAGGCGGCUCUCUGGGACGGUACUGACGCUGAGACGCGAAAGCGUGGGGAGCGAACAGG
rnacentral:rRNA from 1 species